rnacentral:rRNA from 1 species
GAUGAACGCUGGCGGCGUGCCUAAUACAUGCAAGUCGAGCGAAUGGAUUAAGAGCUUGCUCUUAUGAAGUUAGCGGCGGACGGGUGAGUAACACGUGGGUAACCUGCCCAUAAGACUGGGAUAACUCCGGGAAACCGGGGCUACUACUGGAUAACAUUUUGAACCGCAAGGUUCGAAAUUGAAAGGCGGCUUCGCCUGGCACUUAUGUAUGGACCCGCGUCGCAUUAGCUAGUUGGUGAGGUAACGGCUCACCAAGGCAACGAUGCGUAGCCGACCUGAGAGGGUGAUCGGCCACACUGGGACUGAGACACGGCCCAGACUCCGACGGGAGGCAGCAGUAGGGAAUCUUCCGCAAUGGACGAAAGUCUGACGGAGCAACGCCGCGUGAGUGAUGAAGGCUUUCGGGUCGUAAAACUCUGUUGUUAGGGAAGAACAAGUGCUAGUUGAAUAAGCUGGCACCUUGACGGUACCUAACCAGAAAGCCACGGCUAACUACGUGCCAGCAGCCGCCGUAA